rnacentral:misc_RNA from 1 species
AGUUAAUUUGUCAAGAUACAUAAUGAUAGACCUUAGUGAAUUCCCAUGGGCAGCAACCAUUACAUUCUUUCCAGAUUGAAGCUGGGGUUCAAUCUUUUCUCUAAAAUAGGCAACAGCCCUUUGAGAACACAUUUCCAAGCUCUCUCCAUUUGGGGGAGGAAUAUCAUAACUCCGGCGCCAGUCAUGUACUUUCUCCUUGCCAUAUCUUUCAGCUGUCUCCUCUUUAUUAAGACCUUGUAAUUCACCGUACAUUCUUUCAUUCAAUUGCCAAGCAGUUAUAACUGGAAUAGAUUGCUUAUUGGUUUCAUCGCUGAAAAUUUGACUCCAUGCUUUUGCUUGUUCACUCUCAUCAUGCAUAAUGAUAGGGACCUUCUUGCGGCGGUGUUGUGUCAUGGCAAGCAUAGCUGUCAUCUGUGCACGAAUCAGUGCAGAUGUGUAAAUGAUGUCCACUGGUAUGUUGCUUAUACGUUUACCAGCUUCAAUGGCUUCCUCAAUGCCUCUCUUAGUUAAAGGCACAUCAACACAACCGGUGAACAAAUUCUUCUCAUUCCACAAUGAUUCACCAUGUCGAAUUAAUAUCAAAGAAGAUUCAACUACCAAAGAGCACCAAGCCAAGAAUUAAUCGGAACACAAAGAGUAACCUCAUCUUUAGACAAACCAAUCAAAUGCAAGGACCAAAUCAGUGGUUUCUUAAUAAAACUUAGUUUGGAAAAUUAACUGAAACACAAAGAGGAACCUCAAUUUUAGACAUACUAUUCAGAAGCCAAGAAGUAUCCAAAACUAUGGAAUUUUAAUAAGACCUAGUUUCGAAAUGUCAUAUUUCAAGCAAACCCUUCACUUUCACAAUUCAACGAUGAUAAAAUAAAGGGCAAACAAAAAUCCAUAACAAGUGUGAUCUUAUAUCUAAAAAUCAAGUUUAGAAUAAGAUAAGCUAACUCACUUGAUGUCUUCUGAUUAUAAUCAUUGGCAGAUUGUGAGGUACGCAAAGCAGGGUCCACCACUGAAGCAUGACAUGAGGAUGUAUAAGUCACACGCACUUUGCCAUGUUUAGAAUUACAGAUUCCUUUACUGAGCAAUUUAACAUCUAAAGCAAAACCCUUUGAGAUGCAUUGCAAUGAGGAAUUCCUGAAUUUCCUAAGAAAGCCAGAAUCAUUGCUACAAAUAUGAAGCUGAACAGCUCCAAUAUGAUUGUGUAAUGUACCAGCAUCCAUUUUGUUAAUCUAACUGAAAUCAUCAACAAGGUGACCAUUUAAGCAAACAUAUUAGAAUAAUGUGACACUAGUACCAUCAUAAGAGUAUAAUACAUGGCUACAAGGAUGCUAAAAACAUAUUUUUUAGUUACAGAGUACGAAAACUCAUUUCUCCAACAAAACGAAAAGUAAUCUUACAGAAAUCAAAUUAGUGCUCAAUUUCGAAACCCUAAACCCUCAAUAAAUAAAACUAACGGCUAAAUACACUCAUUAAUGCAAAUUCAUUAAAGAUCAUAAUUUAUUUACUAAGCACAAAUCACACAAGCACUUUUCAUUUGAAAAUUACAAAUGGUGCGAAAGGUUUGAAAAGAAAAAAAGAAA